rnacentral:lncRNA from 1 species
AAAACUCAAUGUUUCAUCUUAAUCUUUAGUUUCUAACCGAGUAUAAUAGAGUGCGACACAAAGGACUUUGUGCUUCCAACUGUGACGUCCUUAUUUAAAAAAGAAAAUGAGUUCUAUUUCUUUCUGUAGAAAUAAGCAAAUAAUGUGUGACGUUUAAAGAAGAAAUGUGUGAAGGAAAACAAGUUGCUUAACCCUAUUUCUCCCCAACCACAAAGGGUUUCGUCUGCACUACAUUUUUCUCUGAUAACUGAUCUGUGGUGUAUUGGUGGAAAUUCAUUUUCAUUUUUUUCCUCUUUCAUUCACGUCCUUUUAAAUUUUAAUCCCGUAACUAGCAUUAUUCUAAUCUAACUGUUUUUCUGCCCGCUUCCAAUGAUGAGAGAGACCAAGGUUUUGGUCAUUUUUCUGUUCUGUUCCAUUGGCAGCUCGCCUUGACAUUAAUGGUUUUACGUGGAAUAACGGUUUUAAACAAGCGUGUUGGCUAGAGCUAUUUGAUUCAACCUAUGGGAUUCACCAUGAUCAUUGUGGAAUCUGUCAUCACUUUCAGGUGCUGUGCUUCCAGAUAGCCAGGACCGAAGACAAGGGUCAAUCCUUUUACAGUCCAAAGUUGUAAUCAACAAGGCCAAACAGAUAGCAACAUGAUCGACCAGGUACGACAGGAAAGCAGCAUCAGCCUCCAGUUGAAAAGCUAGUCGCUGAUGGACUGAUUCAACAAGCAAAUCCAACAGCGACGCCCUAUGCAGUUGCUGCUGCCACGUCCUAUUCGGCACCAACCCCAUCCCAAAUCGCUAAUCUAAGUGUAGAAGCAUCGCCUCUAGUUUGACUGCCCAGCAGAUUCAGACGCUUAUCCCUUCACCAAGUCAUUCCUCAUCCAAGGAACGUGGAACUGCGAUCGUGGUUCCAGCAUUCUGCACAAGUUAGAAGAAAAGACAAAGCUACAAAGUCCAGCGUUCUGAGCAAGACGAAGCAAUGAAAUGUUUCACAGCGCAUCACAAACAACUUAGCUGAAGAUUCACAAGCGGAUACCAACGAUGGCAAAAGAAGAGCGUGAAGUAGGAAGAAAUUGCCUCAAACAAACUAAAAAAAGUGAAGAAGGUUUUGAUGUGCAGUUUCGUUAACAACAAAAAAAACCAAUGCAGACUUAUCCAAUCUACCUUGAAGACAAAAUGGAAAAGUCUUCCUUACAAGGGUGGAGAAAAACCGAAGCUACAAAUUAACACACCCAUUCUAUUUUGCUUCAUGUCAAGCUUUUAUAAAUUUUAAGUGUGAUUGAUAAAUAUUUAUGUAUUGUGUAAAAACUAAGUUGAAAAAUAAAACACAUGAAAACAUU